GGAGGGAGCGAGCGUUGUUCGGAAUCACUGGGCGUAAAGGGCGCGUAGGCGGCCGAGUAAGUCGUGUGUGAAAGACCGGGGCUCAACUCCGUGUACUGCAUGCGAUACUGCCCGGCUAGAGAAAGGUAGAGGCGAGUGGAAUUCCCGGUGUAGCGGUGGAAUGCGUAGAUAUCAGGAAGAACACCUGUGGCGAAGGCGGCUCGCUGGGCCUUUUCUGACGCUGAAGUGCGAAAGCGUGGGGAGCAAACAGGAUUAGAUACCCUGGUAGUCCACGCCGUAAACGAUGGGCACUAGGCGUUGGGAGGAUUGACCCUCUCAGUGCCGUAGCUAACGCGUUAAGUGCCCCCGCCUGGGGAUACGGCCGCAAGGCUG
rnacentral:rRNA from 1 species